AUGGUCAAUGAUUGCUGCACCAGAGUUAUGAGAGGUUCUUCUCUAUUAGAUGGACAGAUUUAUAUACUUUCCCAUGGAAGAUUAAAUGAAGAGAUGGACAUUUUAGCAAAACUAAAUGAAAACCUUGUAAAAUUUUCAGAUUAUGUUUCUACAUUUAAACAUCUACUGGGGGAGGUAGUGGGCAAUUCUAUGCAGUCAAACCUGGAAUUGCUGACACGUAUUAAGAGUGUGCACCACAGGUAUUGAAACCUGAAAUACUCUGAACUCUUUUCAUAUAGAUUAACAAAAUAUAAAAUAUGUCGUCCUCCUCUAUAUUCUGGCUUAGACAGAACUAUUGAGCCACCGCACCUGUCCUUGGUUUUAGAUCUUGACACAGCACAUCCUCAACUUAUUGUCUCCGAGGAUAGAAAAAGCUGUGUAAUGGAAGAACAAAACCAGACGUUUAUUACAACCCAAGGAGAUUUUAUUUCUGCCCUGCUGUCCUGGGCUCUCAGAAGUGUAGUUCUGGCAGACAUUACUGGAAGGAGAAGUGGGAAACGAUCCUAAAUGAAAAUUGGGUGUGUGUCAAGACGGUCUUCUUAGGACCUGGCAGGAUCAACCUUCAGUUCUGGGUUGAUUUGGGGGCAAUUGGAUGAUAUAUAGAGUGGUUAUGCUGCAUCAGGUCCUAAAAAAGCCCACUUCUGUCAGUAGUAAAAUCCAAUAAGAUUGGUAUUCUUUUGGACUAUGAAUUUGGUGAUUUUUUAAAGUAAUGUAAGUGAUAGGUUUGUUCUGUAUAUUUUAAUGAUUCUUUCACAAGAGCUGUUUGGCCUUAUUUCUAUACUGAAGCAGAUUCUGAACAUCUUAAAAUCUGUUCAUUAUCAGAUACUGAAAGAUAAAGAACAAGUAAAUGAAUCUGUUUCAGUUUUUUGGGUAAUUUAACCAGUAAAUUUAAUCUUAUUUCUUUAAUCUUUAAGUUUUACUGCUGAAGGCCAGAAUAGAUUUUUUUCUCCUAAAUUUUUGGCAAGUAUAAAGCACGUUCAGAAUGUCACUUUCAUAGAUACUAUGAAUAUCAAUUGUCAAGUGUGUUGAUUUCUAAGAUAAAAUAUUUGAGAAUUAAUAUUACCUAACUUGUCCAAUAAAAUGUUAAGUUGCCUACUUUGAAAAAAUCUGUCAAUUUUGAAUUGCAUACCUAGCUAAAUUUUUUUAAGAUUGAGGGUGAGAUGUAAAAUAAUUUAUACAAGUAAUAUAAACUGUUUACUUAAAUUAUUUACUUAAAGAAAUCUAAUUACAUUUAAAUAAAUUGCUGUUACCUGUUA